rnacentral:rRNA from 1 species
UUCGGCAAGGGGGUCAUCCCGACUUACCAACCCGAUGCAAACUGCGAAUACCGGAGAAUGUUAUCACGGGAGACACACGGCGGGUGCUAACGUCCGUCGUGAAGAGGGAAACAACCCAGACCGCCAGCUAAGGUCCCAAAGUCAUGGUUAAGUGGGAAACGAUGUGGGAAGGCCCAGACAGCCAGGAUGUUGGCUUAGAAGCAGCCAUCAUUUAAAGAAAGCGUAAUAGCUCACUGGUCGAGUCGGCCUGCGCGGAAGAUGUAACGGGGCUAAACCAUGCACCGAAGCUGCGGCAGCGACACUAUGUGUUGUUGGGUAGGGGAGCGUUCUGUAAGCCUGUGAAGGUGUACUGUGAGGUAUGCUGGAGGUAUCAGAAGUGCGAAUGCUGACAUAAGUAACGAUAAAGCGGGUGAAAAGCCCGCUCGCCGGAAGACCAAGGGUUCCUGUCCAACGUUAAUCGGGGCAGGGUGAGUCGACCCCUAAGGCGAGGCCGAAAGGCGUAGUCGAUGGGAAACAGGUUAAUAUUCCUGUACUUGGUGUUACUGCGAAGGGGGGACGGAGAAGGCUAUGUUGGCCGGGCGACGGUUGUCCCGGUUUAAGCGUGUAGGCUGGUUUUCCAGGCAAAUCCGGAAAAUCAAGGCUGAGGCGUGAUGACGAGGCACUACGGUGCUGAAGCGACAAAUGCCCUGCUUCCAGGAAAAGCCUCUAAGCAUCAGGUAACAUCAAAUCGUACCCCAAACCGACACAGGUGGUCAGGUAGAGAAUACCAAGGCGCUUGAGAGAACUCGGGUGAAGGAACUAGGCAAAAUGGUGCCGUAACUUCGGGAGAAGGCACGCUGAUAUGUAGGUGAAGCGACUUGCUCGUGGAGCUGAAAUCAGUCGAAGAUACCAGCUGGCUGCAACUGUUUAUUAAAAACACAGCACUGUGCAAACACGAAAGUGGACGUAUACGGUGUGACGCCUGCCCGGUGCCGGAAGGUUAAUUGAUGGGGUUAGCGGUAACGCGAAGCUCUUGAUCGAAGCCCCGGUAAACGGCGGCCGUAACUAUAACGGUCCUAAGGUAGCGAAAUUCCUUGUCGGGUAAGUUCCGACCUGCACGAAUGGCGUAAUGAUGGCCAGGCUGUCUCCACCCGAGACUCAGUGAAAUUGAACUCGCUGUGAAGAUGCAGUGUACCCGCGGCAAGACGGAAAGACCCCGUGAACCUUUACUAUAGCUUGACACUGAACAUUGAGCCUUGAUGUGUAGGAUAGGUGGGAGGCUUUGAAGUGUGGACGCCAGUCUGCAUGGAGCCGACCUUGAAAUACCACCCUUUAAUGUUUGAUGUUCUAACGUGGGCCCCUUACCGGGGUUGCGGACAGUGUCUGGUGGGUAGUUUGACUGGGGCGGUCUCCUCCUAAAGAGUAACGGAGGAGCACGAAGGUUGGCUAAUCCUGGUCGGACAUCAGGAGGUUAGUGCAAUGGCAUAAGCCAGCUUGACUGCGAGCGUGACGGCGCGAGCAGGUGCGAAAGCAGGUCAUAGUGAUCCGGUGGUUCUGAAUGGAAGGGCCAUCGCUCAACGGAUAAAAGGUACUCCGGGGAUAACAGGCUGAUACCGCCCAAGAGUUCAUAUCGACGGCGGUGUUUGGCACCUCGAUGUCGGCUCAUCACAUCCUGGGGCUGAAGUAGGUCCCAAGGGUAUGGCUGUUCGCCAUUUAAAGUGGUACGCGAGCUGGGUUUAGAACGUCGUGAGACAGUUCGGUCCCUAUCUGCCGUGGGCGCUGGAGAACUGAGGGGGGCUGCUCCUAGUACGAGAGGACCGGAGUGGACGCAUCACUGGUGUUCGGGUUGUCAUGCCAAUGGCACUGCCCGGUAGCUAAAUGCGGAAGAGAUAAGUGCUGAAAGCAUCUAAGCACGAAACUUGCCCCGAGAUGAGUUCUCCCUGAGACUUAGAGUCUCCUGAAGGAACGUUGAAGACGACGACGUUGAUAGGCCGGGUGUGUAAGCGCAGCGAUGCGUUGAGCUAACCGGUACUAAUGAACCGUGAGGCUUAACCUU